rnacentral:rRNA from 1 species
UCCUCCAAGGCUAAAUACUCGUAAUCGACCGAUAGUGAACCAGUACCGUGAGGGAAAGGCGAAAAGAACCCCGGGAGGGGAGUGAAAUAGAUCCUGAAACCGUGUGCAUACAAACAGUAGGAGCCUCUUCGUGGGGUGACUGCGUACCUUUUGUAUAAUGGGUCAGCGACUUACAUUCAGUGGCAAGGUUAACCGAAUAGGGAAGCCGUAGAGAAAUCGAGUCCGAACAGGGCGAUAGUCGCUGGGUGUAGACCCGA